ensembl:lncRNA
GGACACCAGGCAUUGGACCAGGCCCCCCUCAAUGACCCCAUCUUAACUUGAUGACCUGCCAAAUGAGAGCAUGUUCACAGGUGCUCAGGGUUAGGGUUUCAGCAUCUUCAAUAGCAGAGGGGAGGAGGAAGCACCAUUCAACCCAUAACAGAAGGCAUUCUUCAUCCCUGACCUUAAAAAAUCCACUGAGGAGGGUUGUCAGAAGCCCAGUUUGUCAAGACGCAGAGCCUGAGACAAGCUGCAGCAGCAAUGCCCUGAAGAGGUUUCUGUUGACCGAGUGCAAUUUAUCAGACCAGCCAAAGGAGCAGGAAACGGCAGCCCUAACUCAGCAGCCCUGAAUAUCCUGGGAAGAGCUUCAAGGCCGUCGGAACAUGGAAGAGAAAUUGCCUUUUAGGAGAUAAUGUGAACCUCAGUCUACAUCGGCGCCUGACCUAUUUCGCAGACUCCCAGGACAUUUAAAUUUAAGCUCCUUUCCUGUGCAAGAAGGAAAAGGCAGAACUUACAGAAGAAACAGAGACCUUACCAACAGUGGGAGUACGAUAUGGCUUCACAGACGUUUCUAAACCUUCUGAAUGCUGGUGGGGAAAAAAAAAAAGAGAUACAACAACAAAAACAGCAAUGGGAGUGAGUAAAUAUGAGUGGGUUUUUUUCAGGUCACACUUCUCCUCAAAAUAAACCUAUUUUAAAAAUAAUAUGUGAAUCAAACAGCACAGGAAGCUGAUGAAGCUAAAUGUGAGCACCUGUUUUUCCUACACAAGAAACAAAAAUAAA